rnacentral:rRNA from 1 species
AUUGAACGCUGGCGGCAGGCCUAACACAUGCAAGUCGAGCGGAUGAAGGGAGCUUGCUCCUGGAUUCAGCGGCGGACGGGUGAGUAAUGCCUAGGAAUCUGCCUGGUAGUGGGGGAUAACGUCCGGAAACGGCGCUAAUACCGCAUACGUCCUGAGGGAGAAAGUGGGGGAUCUUCGGACCUCACGCUAUCAGAUGAGCCUAGGUCGGAUUAGCUAGUUGGUGGGGUAAAGGCCUACCAAGGCGACGAUCCGUAACUGGUCUGAGAGGAUGAUCAGUCACACUGGAACUGAGACACGGUCCAGACUCCUACGGGAGGCAGCAGUGGGGAAUAUUGGACAAUGGGCGAAAGCCUGAUCCAGCCAUGCCGCGUGUGUGAAGAAGGUCUUCGGAUUGCAAAGCACUUUAAGUUGGGAGGAAGGGCAGUAAGUUAAUACCUUGCUGUUUUGACGUUACCAACAGAAUAAGCACCGGCUAACUUCGUG